rnacentral:rRNA from 1 species
UACAGAGGGGGCAAGCGUUGUUCGGAAUUACUGGGCGUAAAGGGCGCGUAGGCGGCCCGCUAAGUCGAACGUGAAAUCCCCGAGCUCAACUCGGGAACUGCGUCCGAUACUGGUGGGCUUGAAUCCGGGAGAGGGAUGCGGAAUUCCAGGUGUAGCGGUGAAAUGCGUAGAUAUCUGGAGGAACACCGGUGGCGAAGGCGGUCUUCUGGACAGUGACUGACGCUGAGACGCGAAAGCGUGGGUAGCAAACAGG